rnacentral:misc_RNA from 1 species
UUACUAUUUUUUUGCCUACCCUCUCUUUUUCAAAUCGCUUAUGGUCAUCCUAUUAUUUUAGAGUUGACAAGUGUCUAGGAAGGUACCUUUUUUCUAUUAUCCGAUAUCAGACACAAGUCUUGUCAUAGAUAUGAUCUACGGAAAAAUCAGCAUCCGAAUACCCAGUUGAAUUAUUUACAAUCCAUAUCAUUACUCAUACUCAUACUCAUACUCAUACUCAUACUAACAAAGUAUUUUUUUGAAAGAUUUCAAGAUCAAAGAGAUUCCCGCUUCUUUAAUAAUACAAUACUUAAUUAAUACUUAAUACUUUAGAAUGCUUAAGACUUUGCCCCUUUCUUUUUUUAAUUGACAUAGACCCAAGCCCUCGCGUAAAAUGAGUAUGAUGCAUCAGAUCAGGUCAGGA